ACAUGCCUACAACAUAGAUUUAAUGCACCGGAUCCCAUUAUAACUCUGUAGUUAAGUGCGCUCAGGUUAGAAUAGUACUCGGAUGGGCGAACGCUUGGGAAUUCCUAGUGUUUUACAUGCC
rnacentral:rRNA from 1 species